AGAGUUUGAUCAUGGCUCAGGACGAACGCUGGCGGCGUGCCUAACACAUGCAAGUCGAGCGGGGACAGCAAGUAGCAAUACGAGCUGUUCUAGCGGCGGACGGGUGAGUAACGCGUGAGCAACCUGUCCCUUACAGGGGGAUAACGCACCGAAAGGUGCACUAAUACCGCAUGAGACCACGGGGAGGACAUCUCCCAGGGGUUAAAGGAGCAAUCCGGUAAGGGGUGGGCUCGCGUCUGAUUAGCUAGUUGGUGGGGUAACGGCCUACCAAGGCAACGAUCAGUAGCCGACCUGAGAGGGUGAUCGGCCACACUGGAACUGAGACACGGUCCAGACUCCUACGGGAGGCAGCAGUGGGGAAUAUUGGGCAAUGGGGGAAACCCUGACCCAGCAACGCCGCGUGAAGGAAGAAGGUUUUCGGAUCGUAAACUUCUAUCCCGGGUGAAGAUAAUGACGGUAGCCCGGAAGGAAGCCCCGGCUAACUACGUGCCAGCAGCCGCGGUAAUACGUAGGGGGCAAGCGUUGUCCGGAAUGAUUGGGCGUAAAGGGCGCGUAGGCGGCCAACUAAGUCUGGAGUGAAAGUCCUACUUUUAAGGUGGGAAUUGCUUUGGAAACUGGAUGGCUUGAGUGUAGGAGAGGUUAGUGGAAUUCCCGGUGUAGCGGUGAAAUGCGUAGAGAUCGGGAGGAACACCAGUGGCGAAGGCGACUAACUGGACUAUGACUGACGCUGAGGCGCGAAAGUGUGGGGAGCAAACAGGAUUAGAUACCCUGGUAGUCCACACUGUAAACGAUGAAUGCUA
rnacentral:rRNA from 1 species